rnacentral:tRNA from 1 species
CGCGGGGUGGAGCAGUUCGAAGCGUCGUCGGCUCAUAACCCGAGGUCGCAGGUUCAAAUCCUGUCCCCGCAA